rnacentral:ncRNA from 1 species
UAAAGUUUCUUGAACUAGGUUUUUUGUUUUUGUUCAUUUUAAAUGUAAAUAUUAUUUUGAAGUUUUAAGUAUAUUUAUAUAAAAUAAAAUUUUAAUUUGCAGUGAAUAAAUUUAAUUAAUUUAAUAGUUUAAGAUUUAGUGAAAUUAAUAAGCAUAGACUAAUUUUGUGCCAGCAGUAGCGGUUAUACAGGUUAUGCAAUAUAAAAAUUUUGAAUUUGGUUAAUUUUUAUUGAAGAUUAAUAAUUAAGAUUUAUAAGGUGAAAUUUUAAAUCUUAUUAAUAUUAUAGUAUAGUUAUAGUGAAGCUAAGAAGUUUUAAUUUUAAAACUAGGAUUAGAUACCCUAUUAUAAAAGAGUAAGUGUGUAUUUCAUAUUAUUAUAAGAAUAAUUUCUUUAAAAUAAAAAGAAUUGGCGGUAUUUUAAUCUAUUCAGAGGAAUCUGUUCUGUAAAUGAUAGUCCACGUUUAAUUUGUCUUUUUUUAAAAAAUUUACAUAUCGCCGUGGAUAAAUAUUCUUUAAAGAAUUAUUUAAUAUUUGAAUAAAAUUUAUUUCAGGUCAAGAUGUAGUGGUAUAGAAAAGUGGAAAUGGAUUACUGUUAUAGUAUUAUUGGAUUAGGAAUUUUAAUAGUAUUAUGAAAUUGGAUUUGAGUGUAAUUUCUUAUUUAUUUUAGAAAUGAUUUUGUUCUAAAGUAUGCACAUAUUGCCCGUCGCUUUCAUUUAAAUUGAAAUAAGUCGUAACAAAGUAGGUGUACUGGAAAGUGUCCCUAGAAACAA